rnacentral:lncRNA from 10 species
GUGGUAUUUACAGAUGGUUGGGUGACAGAAAAAGUAAAUAACUACGUUUCAUUACAGUUUCCUGUUUCCUUCUUGAUCCUUCACAAGGGAAGAUUUUCUUUUUUAGAGGUACAGAUUCCUCUUAGUCAAGUCCUGAUUAAAACUCCAGCUAAGACAUUAGUAAGCCUUGGUUAGUGAAGUGGCAUCAGGAAGUGCCUACAUUUUCAUGGCCUGGUAGCGUUCAGUGAAAAUGUUCAUUAACAGACACAGGCCAUUCAGUCCCGAAUCCCAAGACACUGAAGACUCUGUUUGAAUCAGACUCACGGGUUCCUUCCUAGCCACUCUCAGGGACAGGAAUGCUUCUGGUGAAGAAGUUUUCGGUGGUGGUUCAUGGAGCUUCCCUACACCAACUUGGAAAUGGCAUUCAUUUUAUUGGCUUUUGUUAUCUUUUCCUUAUUUACCCUGGCUUCCAUCUACACUACUCCGGAUGACAGUAAUGAAGAGGAAGAACAUGAAAAAAAGGGAAGGGAAAAGAAAAGGAAAAAGUCUGAAAAGAAGAAAAAUUGCUCAGAGGAAGAGCACAGAAUUGAAGCUGUUGAGCUAUGAUCUCAUAGCCACCGAUAUUUCUCGCUAAGAAGACAGAGGAAGCAAUCCAUGGGAACUACUUAUCCACAGUUACACAAGAGGAGGGGAUAAUGAAGAAAGUUAAAAUCACUUACUGAUUAAACACGAUGAUAAUAACCAUUAAUGAACUCAAUACUCGGGAAAGGCUUCACAUUUCUGGGACUCAGCAUUAUCCAAAAUAUCUAUUAAGAGCCAUACACCAUUCUAGCUGCAAUUGAUUAUACAAAAAAAAAAAGACCAAAGUGGUUACAAUAAUAAAAUAGAACACAGAGAAAGAAGAAAACUACAUGUGUUACAAUUUGCUCUAAGUCCUUGUGGAAAAAGAUAUUAAAGUACAAGGAAAAGACCAUAAGUCUUGCAGGAAGUAAAAACAUGAAGAGAAAAAUGUGGAGAGACAAGUAAACUGCGUUUUUCCGCAGUCUCAGAAUUUAUCCCGCUCUGUGUAACCCAGAAGUGACUGUGAAGGCGCAACCUGUGUAUGUAGCCUGGACCCCACAUGCUCUGCUACUGAGCUUGAGUCAUUAAUCUUCUGGCCACCGAUUUUUCUCUCAAAAAUUACAUGAGCUUCCUCCAUCAAUAAAUAUCUUCAGUGCUCUAUCCAUUAAUUUCCCAUCCACUGAAUAAAGGUUACAACAACUAUUCAUGAGGUUAGGUUUGUUUAAAAAUACAGUUUACAUCAAUUAAGUGGGGUACAUUAGGGAAUUAGAAGGAGAACAGAGAAGGCAGCAGUGAGUGCUUCCAACCCAACUUCAGGGGCUGGGACAAGGUGAAAUUACAGAGAUCACAAACUGAAGAUACUAAACAGGAAUGAAAGGGGCUGGUCUCACAUGUAUCACAGCCUACCAUUUCCAGAGACACAGCUCUCAGGUUCCAAAGGGACUAGUUGACAUCAAUUGCAAGAUGGUUUUCUAGAUCCCACAGCCUUUCUCAACAACAGUUUACAAGAGAAUUAGCCAUACAAAAAAUUAUUUGAGUGACUGUUUUUUCAAUUUUCUGAAGGGUUGUGCAUAACUAGUACUAUUCUAAUUGCACAGGAGAGAAAUUAACUCAUAACAUUAAUGCCUUAGGGUAGGUGUUGACAAACUAAGAACAUAGCUGCCCACCCGUUUUUGUAAAAUUUUUUUUGUAUUUUUAUUUGUUUAUUUAUUUUAUUUUGAGUGGAGUCUCGCUCUUUUGCCCAGGAUGGAGUGCAGUGGCACAAUCUUGGCUCACUGCAACCUCUGCCUCAUGGGUUCAAGCAAUCCUCUCACCUCAGCCUCCCAAGUAGCUGGGAUUGCAAGCGUGCACCACCACACGUGGCUAGUUUUUGUAUUUUUUGUAGAGGCGAAGUUUCACCAUGUUGGCCAGGCUGGUCUUGAACACCUGACCUCAAGUAAUCCACCCACUUCGGCCUCCCAAAGUGCUGGGAUUACAGGUGUGAGCCACCGCACCCGGCCCCAUUUUUGUAAAUAUGGUUUUUUGGUAACACAGUCAUGCUCAUUCAUUUUUUGUAUUGACUAUGACUGUUUUGAAGCUAUAAUGGUAGAACUGAGUAGAUACAGAUAUGUCAUUGCUUACAAUUGCAUAUAAACUUUGGAAGAGUAAACAAGAAAUUGGUAGCAUUAUUUGUUCCUAAUGAGGAGAACUAAGGGUCUGUGAACAAUUGCGGGAAGGAGACCUUUCCAUAUACAGCCUUUGGGCAUAAGCAACCAUGCCCAACCCCAAGUCUCUUCAUAAAGGAAAAUAUUAAUAAUUUGUCUUGGUUGAAUGUAUGUUAAAUGGAACAAAAUUGAUUCCUUUAAAAAAUUAUAGCCGGCAGCAGUGACUCACGACCAUGGGCCCAGCACUUGGGAGGCCCAGACGGGUGGAUCACUUGAGUCCAGGAGACCGGCCUGGGCAGCCUGUAGAAACUCUAUGAAAAAUAAAAAAGUUAGCCGGUGAUUUGCACCUGUGGUCCCGGCUGCUAGUAGGGAGGUGGGGGGCAGUGCUGAGGUGGGAGGAUUGCUUGAGCUCAGAAGGUGGAGGUUGCAGUGAGCCAUGAUCUUGCUCCACUGCACUCCAGCCUGGGUGACCGAGUGAGACCCUUCUCAAAAAAUAAAAUAAAAUAAAAUAAAAAUUAUAAACAAGGAAAAGUCUUAGUUCAUAGAUGAAAUGAUUAGACCUUCUUCUCUGGAGUAAUAGAAAUCGGUCCUUUCUGGAUGAGAACCAGCAUCUUUGCAGCCUUAAGCCACCUGAAGCUUAGUUGGCAUGAGAACGUAGUUAGAAAACUCCUCUUUAUUACUGAGAAGCAAAUUCCAGAGGUUCAUCUGCCAGGACUAACUUGGAUCUGAGGGGUAGAUACCUUUGCUCAAAAAUGCAAAUCUUCAGAGCUCGCGGAAGUGGAAGAAUAACUACAUAGGCAAAGAAAAUGCCAUCUCUGUCUCCGCGAGCUUCCUCUAGCAGGCCGGGAUUUUUCAUGGUCAGCCUGUUUGA